GGGGGGUGCAAGCGUUAUUCGGAAUCACUGGGCGUAAAGAGCGCGUAGGCGGUCUCUUAAGUCAGAUGUGAAAGCCCGGGGCUUAACCUCGGAAGUGCAUUUGAAACGAAGGGACUUGAGUAUGGGAGAGGGAAGUGGAAUUCCUGGUGUAGCGGUGAAAUGCGUAGAUAUCAGGAGGAACACCGGUGGCGAUGGCGACUUCCUGGACCAAUACUGACGCUGAGGCGCGAAGGCGUGGGGAGCAAACAGGGAUUAGAUACCCUGGUAGUCCACGCAGUAAACGUUGAACACUAGGUGUAGCGGGUAUUGACCCCUGCUGUGCCGCAGCUAACGCAUUAAGUGUUCCGCCUGGGGAUACGGCCGCAAGGCUA
rnacentral:rRNA from 1 species